GAUCCUGGCUCAGGAUGAACGCUAGCUACAGGCUUAACACAUGCAAGUCGAGGGGCAGCAUGAACUUAGCUUGCUAAGUUUGAUGGCGACCGGCGCACGGGUGAGUAACACGUAUCCAACCUGCCGAUGACUCGGGGAUAGCCUUUCGAAAGAAAGAUUAAUACCCGAUGGCAUAGUUCUUUCCGCAUGGUAGAACUAUUAAAGAAUUUCGGUUCAUCGAUGGGGAGUGCGUUCCAUUAGGUUGG
rnacentral:rRNA from 1 species